GCCCGUUUCAAGAAGGAGGUUUAACAAACUCUGAGUUUAAAAUAAACUCUGAGUUGAUUUACUCUGAGUUUGCAAACCUGGAGUUUUCGGUUUCAGAACAGCUGAAAAGAGUUGGUUUAAGCAACUCCGAGUUGACUGACUCAGAGUUAAGCGCGCGCACCGAGACUAUAAAAAGCCCUGAUCAAUGGAGUGAAGAUAUUACGAGUCACCAUGGCAACAGCACAACAAAAGACGUCCGGAAAUGGAUAUGAUAUGUCAAGCAUAUAACGACUACGAGUCUAUAUUCGGUAGAAAAAGCAACACGGCUGCAGCGGUGAAAGAGAAAGAAUUAGCUUGAAAGAAAAUAGCUGCCCGAGUCAAUGCCCAACAGAAAGUAGGCAGAGGCUAGAACAACUGGUGGAGGACCUGCUCCUCCACCACUGACGCAUGCAGAGAUAGCCCUCAGCAUGAACACUGGAAAGCAGGGGCUGAAGGAAUUCCUGGAGGGAGUUCAUCAGAACCAGUCACUCCCCAGGUUACAAGUGCAUUUGUAAAAUAGUGUGGAAGAACAGCAGGAGGAGGGUGCGUCACAUUCUGCUGCACAGAUGCACACAGUUCAGUGAUGUUCAGUAAAUGCCAGAGUUCAAUUCUGUAAGAGUA